rnacentral:rRNA from 1 species
UACGUAGGGAGCAAGCGUUGUCCGGAAUCAUUGGGCGUAAAGCGCGCGUAGGUGGCCACAUAAGUCCGUUGUGAAAGUCAAAGGCUCAACCUUUGAAAGCCGAUGGAUACUGUGUGGCUAGAGUACGGAAGAGGAGAGUGGAAUUCCUGGUGUAGCGGUGAAAUGCGCAGAUAUCAGGAAGAACACCCGUGGCGAAGGCGGCUCUCUGGGACGGUACUGACGCUGAGACGCGAAAGCGUGGGGAGCGAACAGG